GUGGGGAAUAUUCCGCAAUGGACGAAAGUCUGACGGAGCAACGCCGCGUGAGUGAUGAAGGUUUUCGGACUGUAAAGCUCUGUUGUUUAGGACGAAAGUGCCUGUUGCGAACAGUUACAGGUAUUGACGGUACUGAACGAGGAAGCCACGGCUAACUACGUGCCAGCAGCCGCGGUAAUACGUAGGUGGCAAGCGUUGUCCGGAAUUAUUGGGUGUAAAGAGCAUGUAGGCGGGAAUCUAAGUCUGUUGUGAAAAUGCGGGGCUCAACCCCGUAUUGCGAUGGAAACUGGGUUUCUUGAGUGCAGGAGAGGAAAGGGGAAUUCCCAGUGUAGCGGUGAAAUGCGUAGAUAUUGGGAGGAACACCAGUGGCGAAGGCGCCUUUCUGGACUGUGUCUGACGCUGAGAUGCGAAAGCCAGGGUAGCGAACGGGAUUAGAUACCCGGGUAGUCC
rnacentral:rRNA from 1 species